CCUACGGGAGGCAGCAGUGAGGAAUAUUGGUCAAUGGCCGGAAGUCUGAACCAGCCAAGCCGCGUGAAGGACGAAGGUGCCACGCAUUGUAAACUUCUUUUGUCAAGGGACAAAAUCAGGCUCGAGAGCCUGACCGAGGGUACUUGAAGAACAAGCAUCGGCUAACUCCGUGCCAGCAGCCGCGGUAAUACGGAGGAUGCGAGCGUUAUCCGGAUUUAUUGGGUUUAAAGGGUGCGUAGGCGGACGGUUAAGUCAGCGGUAAAAGCCCGGGGCGCAACCCCGGCGAGCCGUUGAAACUGGCUGUCUUGAGAUGGCGAGAGGUAUGCGGAAUGCGCAGUGUAGCGGUGAAAUGCUUAGAUAUUGCGCAGAACUCCGAUUGCGAAGGCAGCAUACCGGCGGCGAUCUGACGCUGAGGCACGAAAGCGUGGGUAUCGAACAGGAUUAGAUACCCCAGUAGUC
rnacentral:rRNA from 1 species